rnacentral:rRNA from 1 species
UACGGAGGGGGCGAGCGUUGUCCGAAGUUACUGGGCGUAAAGCGCGCGUAGGCGGGUUGGUAAGUCCGCUGUGAAAGCCCGGAGCUCAACUCCGGAGGGUCGGUGGAUACUGCCAGUCUUGAAGGUGCUAGGGGGAGAUGGAAUUACCGGUGUAGCGGUGAAAUGCGCAGAUAUCAGGAGGAACACCGGUGGCGAAGGCGGCGACCUGGACGGACACUGACGCUGAGACGCGAAAGCGUGGGGAGCAAACAGG